rnacentral:rRNA from 1 species
GUGGGGAAUCUUCCGCAAUGGACGAAAGUCUGACGGAGCAACGCCGCGUGAGUGAAGAAGGUUUUCGGAUCGUAAAGCUCUUUCGUUAGGGACGAACGUGCUCUUUGUGAAUAAUGAGGAGUAAUGACGGUACCUAAAUAAGAAGCCACGGCUAACUACGUGCCAGCAGCCGCGGUAAUACGUAGGUGGCAAGCGUUGUCCGGAAUUAUUGGGCGUAAAGCGCGCGCAGGCGGGAUAUCAAGUCUGUCUUAAAAGUGCGAGGCUCAACCUCGUGGGGGGACAGAAACUGGUAUUCUUGAGUGUCGGAGAGGAAAGUGGAAUUCCAAGUGUAGCGGUGAAAUGCGUAGAGAUUUGGAAGAACACCAGUGGCGAAGGCGACUUUCUGGACGAUGUCUGACGCUGAGGCGCGAAAGCCAGGGGAGCGAACGGGAUUAGAAACCCGAGUAGUCC